GAUGAACGCUAGCGGCAGGCCUAAUACAUGCAAGUCGGACGGGAUUCAGGAGCUUGCUUCUGAUGAGAGUGGCGCACGGGUGCGUAACACGUAUGUAACCUACCUUUAUCAGGGGGAUAGCCUCUCGAAAGAGAGAUUAAGCCCGCAUAAAAUCACAGCACAGCAUUGUGUAAUGAUCAAAUAUUUAUAGGAUAAAGAUGGGCAUGCGGAACAUUAGCUAGAUGGCGGGGUAACGGCCCACCAUGGCGACGAUGUUUAGGGGAUCUGAGAGGAUGGCCCCCCACACUGGUACUGAGACACGGACCAGACUACUACGGGAGGCAGCAGUAAGGAAUAGUGGUCAAUGGGCGGAAGCCUGAACCAGCCAUGCCGCGUGCAGGAAGACGGCCCUACGGGUUGUAAACUGCUUUUAUACGGGAAUAAACCCAGAUACGUGUAUCUGGCUGAAUGUACUGUAAGAAUAAGGAUCGGCUAACCCCG
rnacentral:rRNA from 1 species